GUCUACAGCCAUGCUACCCUGAACAAGCCCGAUCCUGUAUGAUCUCAGAAGCUAAGCAAGGUCGGGCCUGGUUAGUACUUGGAUGGGAGACCACCUAGGAAAACCCAGGUGCUGUAGGUG
rnacentral:rRNA from 1 species